GUCGAGAACAAAAACAUUGCUGGAUUCGAUAAUCCUGGAAAAUCUCUGUACACAACAGUUCGAGAGCUUGUUGAAAAUUCUCUGGAUUCAACGGAGUCUAUUUCCGAACUCCCAAUCAUUGAAAUAACAAUGCAAGACCUAAUUAUUUUGACCAUUAGUUCUGCUUGGAUCAUAAGCAUUGUGAUUGUUUGUGUGCAUUAUGAGGUACAAAAAAUUUAGCGUCAUUGGUUAUUUGUACAGCUCACUUGGAAUGAUGCGGUCAUUGAUAGGGAUGAUGACAUAUAUCUUGAACUUAAUAUAAAAAUUUCAAUCUCCUUCUUUAACGAGCAUCACUUUCUUGGUUAUAAGUAGCAAAGUUGCUGUCUUAGGGAAAAACUUCCUUAAUUGGAUAUAUGGCGUGUUUUGGAUGCUGCGGAGAAGAAGACUUUCACCAAGCUACUGAUACGGGAAGACCUUUCACUGCACACCAUGCGACAGGUGAUUCAAGAACUCGCAAAACAAGACUUUCUGAACCGAGGGGACGAAACUACAAAAGAAAUACAAAGUGAAAGUGUACAAGCAUUAGAAAAAAUCUCUUAUUUGAAUUAGAUGUAAAAGUCUUAAAGAAACUAGUGCGAGAGAAAACUUAAACAUGACACUAUAUAAACUUAAACAUGACACUAUGUAACUGCAAAAUAUUAACUUUUGUUGGUUUGUAUUUGUUGGAUAUUUUGGAUC